rnacentral:rRNA from 1 species
AAGCGUGCGCAGGCGGUUUUGUAAGUCAGAUGUGAAAUCCCCGAGCUCAACUUGGGAACUGCGUUUGAAACUACAAGACUAGAAUAUGUCAGAGGGGGGUAGAAUUCCACGUGUAGCAGUGAAAUGCGUAGAGAUGUGGAGGAAUACCAAUGGCGAAGGCAGCCCCCCGGGAUAAUAUUGACGCUCAUGCACGAAAGCGUGGGGAGCAAACAGGAUUAGAUACCCUGGUAGUCCACGCCCUAAACGAUGUCUACUAGUUGUUGGUGGAGUAAAAUCCAUGAGUAACGCAGCUAACGCGUGAAGUAGACCGCCUGGGGAGUACGGUCGCAAGAUUAAAACUCAAAUGAAUUGACGGGGGCCCGCACAAGCGGUGGAUUAUGUGGAUUAAUUCGAUGCAACGCGAAAAACCUUACCUGGCCUUGACAUGUAACGAACUUUCCAGAGAUGGAUUGGUGCUCGAAAGAGAGCGUUAACACAGGUGCUGCAUGGCUGUCGUCAGCUCGUGUCGUGAGAUGUCGGGUUAAGUCCCGCAACGAGCGCAACCCUUGCCAUUAAUUGCCAUCAUUUAGUUGGGCACUUUAAUGGGACUGCCGGUGACAAACCGGAGGAAGGUGGGGAUGACGUCAAGUCCUCAUGGCCCUUAUGGCCAGGGCUUCACACGUAAUACAAUGGUCGGUACAGAGGGUUGCCAAGCCGCGAGGUGGAGCCAAUCCCAGAAAGCCGAUCGUAGUCCGGAUUGUAGUCUGCAACUCGACUACAUGAAGUCGGAAUCGCUAGUAAUCGCGGAUCAGCAUGUCGCGGUGAAUACGUUCCCGGGCCUUGUACACACCGCCCGUCACACCAUGGGAGUGGGUUUUACCAGAAGUAGGUAGUCUAACCUUUCGGGAGGACGCUUACCACGGUAGUAUUCAUGACUGGGGUGAAGUCGUAACAAGGUAA